GUCAGCCCUGCUAUACCUACUUUUUGACACGCUUCUAAAAUGCGCUAAAAUGGUGAUUAUGAGUCAUGCGCUUUCGCGCAAGGUUGCAUUGAACACGAGGACCAAAACGGUAAAUAACAACGUCAAUAAAAAAACAGGUAUUACGUUUUUUCUUUUUUAUUGCAAGCUGAAUCAUUGAGACGAUCAACAGUCGAUCGAAUGGUAUUGUUUAAAAACGUUACGCCCAGCACCAGAUAUUCUAGCUUAAAAUGUGCGAUGAAGAGCAAAGUUUCUCUGAAGUUGAAACCGAUCAAACGGAGUCCCAGUUAUCAUUAUUGGAUCUUCCAGUCGAGAUAUUCUUCCAUAUCUGUUCUUUCUUAGAUGCCUCUACACUAGUACAUGGCUUGAGUUUAGUGUGUAAACAGUUUCAUGAAAUUUUAAAUGAUAACUCACUAUGGAAAGUGAGGAUAAAUCAAAUUUGGCCAAAUACUAAUUAUCCAGUUUUGCCUCCUGCUGAAGAUGAUGAAUUGUUCUGGAAACUAUCAUGUGUGGCAUUGGAAAAGCAAGCCUCAUUAUGGAGGAAAGAAAAUUCCAUGGAGAAAUUAUCACUUACAAUGGUACAAUACAGUACCAUAGAUGGCCUGUUAUUAAUGCAAGAUGGAAGUAUUUGUAUAUCGGGAGCAAGAGAUCGAUCUUUAGCAUGUUGGAAACUUCCUACAAAGGAAGAAUGGGAAAUUACUACUUGUAUAGAAUCUGCUCAUGACGGAUGGAUUUGGGACCUAACAUCGAUAGACAAGAUGGUUUACAGUUGCAGCUGGGAUAAAACUGUGAAAGCAUGGACGCUUACCAACACCGGUCUCGUCCACUUCAAAACUUAUGAGAUGAUCGUCACAGGUGCUCUGUUAUGCGUCGCAUCAUGUCCAGACCUGACUCUUUUUGCUACCGGAUCAUUUUGUAAAAGCGUUCUAGUAUUUGAUCCAAGAUUAGCUUAUAACCCUGUCGUAAAGUACCGACCACAUAAAAGAGCCGUUAUUAGACUGGCUAUGAAUUCUAACUUUAUUUUGUCCGCCAGUGAAGAUGGAACAGUGGCAAUAUGGGAUCAAAGAGCAGGAAGAAUGAUGAAAAACGUUACUAUUUCACAAGAAUCAUUCCCUAUGAGUAUGUGUAUGCAACGAGACAUGGUUUAUAUAGGAGAUGGCAACGCGAAAUUACAUGUACUAGAUCCAAAAAAAGAUUUUCAACCAGUUAAAUGUUAUACCACUGAACACAAGAAAGGUAUUAAUGGUGUUCAUUUGACACGAGGGUGUUUGAUCACUAGUUCAAUGGACAAGACAGUCAGAAUUAACAGUCCAACUGAUCCUCCGCAACAUAUCACCACCUUGGAAUCUAGUUAUGGCGAAAUAGCGAGUACGGAAUAGAAAUCUGGAGACCAAAAGCAAGAAUCCAAUGUGCAUGAAAGCGUCGAUAAAUAAAUGAUUUCUACAAGCAUUUUGCUUUGAUAUGCUGUUCAUCUUCUCAUUUGUACCUAAUUAAAAGUAAAUGAUGGAUUAAAAUAUAUUGUGGAUGAUUACACUCGAUUGAGUAAACAUGAAAAAUAAUCUAUUUUAUUGAAUUCAAAUUGUAACCGCUUAACAGGAGUGUAACUGCUGAUUCAAAAACCCUGAAUGAAACUAUGCUGGUUGAUUAAAACAAAUCUUAAAUAUAAAUGUUAUACGAUUUUAAGCACUUCCAUUUUGGAAGAAAAUAACAUCGAAUAUUAUAUUUUGAACAAAGUAACGUUAAAUUUGAAAGAAGAUAGGUGAAAUGUAAAUCCAAGCAUUAAACUGAUCGAUGUCGCUAGCGUCGCCGGAAGUGUUCGUCUGCUACGCUCUGAAAACGUUCAAUUGUCUAUCUGUAUGAAUUGCACAUAAAUAGAAUAACGUUAUGAAACGAU